GCCACAGCUGCAGAGCUAGACAGAAGC
rnacentral:piRNA from 1 species